rnacentral:rRNA from 1 species
UACGUAGGAUGCGAGCGUUGUCCGGAAUUACUGGGCGUAAAGAGCUCGUAGGUGGUUUGUCGCGUUGUUCGUGAAAACUCACAGCUUAACUGUGGGCGUGCGGGCGAUACGGGCAGACUGGAGUACUGCAGGGGAGACUGGAAUUCCUGGUGUAGCGGUGGAAUGCGCAGAUAUCAGGAGGAACACCGGUGGCGAAGGCGGGUCUCUGGGCAGUAACUGACGCUGAGGAGCGAAAGCGUGGGGAGCGAACAGG